UUAAGUUCAGCGGGUAAUCCUACCUGAUUUGAGGUCAGAUUGUCAAUAGUUGUCUAUGAAGACGGUUAGAAGCUAAGCCUCGGUAUGUCACUCUUCAAUGGCGUAGAUAAUUAUCACACCAAUGAGUAGCGGCAAAAGCUCUGCUAAUACGUUUAAGGAUAGCCGACUCGUAUGAGCCCGCAGAUCCCAUGAUCCAAGCU
rnacentral:misc_RNA from 1 species